GACGUAGGGCGCGAGCGUUGUCCGGAUUUAUUGGGCGUAAAGAGCUCGUAGGCGGCUUGUCGCGUCGAAUGUGAAAUCUCAGGGCUCAACCCUGACAUUGCAUUCGAUACGGGCAGGCUUGAGUUCGGUAGGGGAGACUGGAAUUCCUGGUGUAGCGGUGAAAUGCGCAGAUAUCAGGAGGAACACCGGUGGCGAAGGCGGGUCUCUGGGCCGAUACUGACGCUGAGGAGCGAAAGCGUGGGGAGCGAACAGG
rnacentral:rRNA from 1 species